rnacentral:lncRNA from 1 species
AAAACUUUUUUUUUUUUCUUAGUGAGGAGGCUUUAUAUUAGCAAUCAUACAGGAAGUUGUCUUUCGUUGUCUAGUGUGGAAACUCAAGUGACACAUGUUCACUCUAUUUCUCUAGGUAGUUAAGACCUAAAUUACAAAUAAACUACCAGUGGAUUUUUGCUUUUGCAUUUAUCAUGUGAUCUACUAAAUAAAAUGGGUUCUGUUUAGUAAUAUUACUAUAAUUAGAAAGAUUCUUUGUAAAAAUUAUCAGCCAUUUUAGAGUAGGUAAAAUGAAAUAAUAAGUAGAACAUCUCUGAUUUACUGCCACCAUUAAAAUCUCAGCUACAUUUUGAAACUAUCUGCACCAAUAUUGCUCAUAAUUAAACAGAGGUAUUAUGCAAAUGUAUAUAGUUUUAAUUUAUCAAUAAUGAUCAAUUUUGGCCAACAUUAGUGGGUAGGUAUAUGAAAAAUAUAAAUAUAUAUUUCUACUUUGAAGUCAUAAUCAUAUUGUAAGUGAAUUGGGUUUAGAUUUUAAGGUUAUUUUACACUUUAAUGGUUUACUAGCACCUUUAAUAUUUUGUAGGUACUUGAAUUUCCAAGACAAAAUUAUUUUUUUUUUAUCUGCAAUGGCUCUUUUCUCAUACUGCAACCCUCUCCAAGCCUCCCUUCUAAAAAGAUGGAGGACUUCAUCAGAAGUCACAAAGGAACAAUUUUUGUUCAGAAAUAAAAAACAAGUCAGAAGGCUGAAUCUCAUCUUACAACUAUGUUCUGGUCCCCUUCUAUGUUUAUAUUUCCCCUCCAUUUUUUUUGAUAUUGGUUCUGCAUAGCCAUCUGUAAAGCAUAUUCCCCUGGACUUCAUGCUUCCCAGAACAUUACACACAAACUGUGCAUAUGUUUUUCCUAAACUUAGUGAUCACAUUUGUAGGACUGGUGGAAGGAGAGUGGGGGACGGGAAAAAUUUCCUCCUUUCUUACGCACAGAAAUCAAUCAGCAAUUUCACUUCUGUGAGUAAGAAGUGGAGAAAGGAAGAAAGGAGAAAGAAAAGAAGGUAGGUAGAAAGCAUUCUCACUUCUAUAUACUGUAUUAAGUAGCCAACAUAAAGCUAGAAACGAAUCAAGCUGAAUUCAUUUUUACUCUAUUCUCACAAUGCUGUUAUCUUGUCUCUAACCUAGGGCAUCCACUUCCUUCAGUCUGUGCCUACCUCCCAAACAUGAAGUCUUCCAACUUUUCUGUGCUUCCAUCUGCUUGGUGUCUGCCUGAGAAAGAGGUUUCUAAGAGCUACUCCAAAAACCAAAAUCACCCUCAAGGAAAGCAUGAAGAUACAAAGAUAAAAUAUAUAUUUUUAUAACAUGUUUGAAUGACUCACAACACAAAAAAGCAUUUCAAAAUGCCACCUGUAAUUGGAAAAAUAAUAUUUAUAUGCAAAAGAUUGAAGAAGGAACCUGAAUUUUUUAAAACAAAAGGAAGCAGUAAUUGUGGUAGAGAAGAAAGGAUAACUAACCUUUACUGAGAGCCUGCUGUAAUAGCUACACAAUACUAUUUAUCACAUAUUUAUUUCAUCUCAUCCUCUCAAUAGUUCUGCAGAAAAGGUAGUAUUUCCCAUUUCAUAAUGAGGAAACUCACAAUAUUAGUGGGACCUGGAUCCAAAGUCCUAAUAUUUUAUACGAUUUGUGCAUUUCCAAAAUAAAAACUUGAAAUUGAA